CAUGGUGAGGUGUGGGUGUCAUGGCAAGGUGUGGGUGCCAUGGCAAGGUGUGGGUCCCAUGGCCAGGUGUGGGUCCACACAAGUGGGAGGAGGCUUUUGUGAAAGGAUGAGGCUCCCAGCAGCUGGAGAAGAGUCCUCACGGUUGGUUGAGAGCCCCCACAAUAAGAUGAGGCUCCCCAGGGUGAGAAGAGGAUCCACCGGUCCCUGCAGCAGUGUGACCAUCCCCAUGGCUCUGCGAGGGGCCCCACAGAAGGCUGGGAGUCCCCACAUCCCCACCCACCCUCACCCACGCGUGGCUUGGAUGGGGGGAACCUGAAGAUCGGAAGGGGGGGGGGGGGGGGGGGGGGGGGGGGGGGGGGGGGGGGGGGGGGGGGGGGGGGGGGGGGGGGGGGGGGGGGGGGGGGGGGGGG
rnacentral:lncRNA from 1 species